CGAAAUCUGAACCAAAAUAGUAAAAUACCCGAACAGGUAUUGAUUUAAGAGAGAUUGGAUAUCCGAAGAUAAUCAAACAUAUGUAUACUUAUCCUUAUAUUUCUAGUUUACAUCUCUCAUUUUAUUUAUAACCUUAAUCUCAUAUGACACAUAACCCUCAAGCUUUAUUCUCCUACAACCUAGUUUAUUCUAUAUGACCUCAAUGUAGAUGAAAUUACCAUAAGGCAAUUAAUGAAGGGAUCACAUCUACCAUUAGAUUAAAAAAGAAGAAGAGCCACACGAUUUACUUUUUUCUCUUUUCUUUGCAUGGGACCCAUCCCUCUCUUCUUCAGAUUUCCUCUUCAAUUCACGAUAACAACCGGUCUCUUCUCCCUUCAAUUGUUCUCUUCAAUUCUUCACCAAUCAAACUUUUCUUUAUCUGUUUUAUUUGUUUUUCAGCCAGAGAUUAGUCGACGAGUAGCAUAACCAUCUAUAACAACUCGUAUAUCUUCCUCCAUAGUUGAACUUUGUGGCUUGGUCACAGCAACGGCAAAGAUGAAAACGACAACGAUGACAACGACUACGAAGAAAGUAGCAGCGAGGGAAGCGGCAACGAGGGAAACGACAACGAGGGAAACGAAAACGAGGGAAGUGGCAAUAAUAGGAAGCUAUAAACGAUUCUUACUUAUGUGUUAUGGAACUUGUUUUUGUGUAUGGAACUUAUUAUGUGUUAGGGAUGUUAUUUAUGUUGUUUUAAACUUUGUAAUAGACAAAAUUCGCAAUGUGUUGUUUC